UAAUUGUUGCAGGGAAGUUUUUUUAAACUAUCAAAUAGAAGAGUUUGAAUGCAUUUAUUUUAAUAUUAAUAGACUCAACUCAAGAACGUUUACAGUUAGUGUGAUGUUGGUCACAAUUUUCACAAAAAUAAUAUUAUGAUUGAUCAUACAUACUUCCCUUUUAUAUUCAUGCCUCAUAAAUAAAUUAUAGGGCUCAGCACUUUACAAAUGACUGAGAAGGACUUAGGCAAAGCAUUGUAAUUCCUUAUUCUACAUAAUUAUAAAUGCACAUCUUUAGUACCACCACAUCUAAUGUAGCAAGGGCCAUGUCACCCCACAACAUUCAUGUGGUUUCUAUAAGUUGAAAGUAUAGAUCUUAUGGGAGUAGGACUCAUACAAACUCUUCUCCGGUAUUCUCCAUCCAAGGUGGAGCCAUGUCAUAAAACCCAAUUCACAAUAAGAAUGAAAAGGAGAAGUUGAAUGUGGAGGAGGAGGAGGACGACGAAGAAGACAACAAACACAAUGAAAUUGUCGUCCUUUUGUGGCCGCAUCUGCCUCAUGACCUCCACAUAUGUUGCCCUCAUGGAUAGCUUCACAACUAUUCCAUUGUUUGUCUUGCUUUUCUUCCCUUCGCUUCUAUCCAUCGUUAUCAUUUUUAUGGUGAUGGUUCACACCUUUUCAUGCAUUCUAUGGGUCACACACAAUUGCUUGUUUCCUUCAUCAUCAUUGUUGAAUAGAAAACAAAACAAAGUUGAAGAAUAAAAGAAAAGAGAAAAAGGUUUUCUAUACAUGUGUACAUGUGUAUGUGUAUAUAUUGUUGCAAAUAAGGUCUUUAUCAACUUUGUAUGUGAUUUUUCCAAAUUGAAAUACAAAGGUCUUCUUGGUUAUAUUUAAAACAUAUAAAAAGAUGAGUAGCUAAAUGUUGAAUUGUGUUUAAGGUAGAGUGGUUUUUUUUUAUUGGUUUUUGAAAUUGAAGCUCUUCCAAUAUUACAUACAUGUAAGCUUUUUAUAGUUUUGAAGUUUUAGUUUCACAAUAUGCAAAUUGUUGGGUUUGUACAUGAGGUGGAAAAAUGAUAAGGAAAUACAAAAAUUCUCUUUCAAUAAUGUACUAUAUAGAUUUCAAAUGCUUACUAAAGUUGGAUUGAAAAGCACUACCAUGUUUAUGUCUUUCAGCUUUGGUAGUAAUACAAUAAUCCACAAUCUCUAAAAGAAUACUUCUACUAUUUACAAACAAACAUCAAUAUCUACUAUUAUUAUUAUUAUUCUUCUUCUGGUGUAUUCUAUGUAUGUGAGAGGUCUAUUCUAUUUGUCCAUGCAUUUUGUGUUUAUCACCUACACUUCCCAAAGGAAGCUCAUGUGGUCCCAUCCCUUCUCUUGAUAAAGAUGGGAGGAAUGGCACCGAUAUUUAUGAUUUGACACUUUUAUAGAUAUAUAUAUAUAUAUAUAUAUAUAUAUAUAUAAUUAAAAAUGCACAAAAGAGGUAGAAUUAUGAACUUUACCAAAAACACCAAACCCCAAUACCAAAUCCAAUGUUUGUCAAAGCAUGCAAGGAAUUGGCAUUUGAGAAGUUUUUCAUUUGAAAAUAUCUUUACAGUUUUAUAGUUUUAUUAUUAAUGUGGGUUUUUGAGGACAUCCACAUUUGAUCCUCCUUGUUUCCAACAAACAUUUGCUUCAGCUUAGGAAUCUGCACUUGACCAUUGAGUUGAUUUUUAAAUAAAUAAUAACAAUAAAAGAGAUAAUCUUGCAUGAUGCCAAAAAUGGAAAAAAGUAAUGUAUGAUUUCUAUUUUUAUUUUAAUCUUGAUUUUGUAUACAUUUAAGAAUUUUGAGCACAUGUCACAUGAAAAAAAAUACUAAAGAUACAUAGAGUUAGGGAGAUGAUGAUGUUGCUAUAUGGCUGGGUAACAAAUAUGUUUCAUGUUUUCAUUUAAUUACUUAAUCAUUUACACUUGCUUGCUGAUUCAUAAACAUAUAUCUCAAUUUUUUGGAUUUUUAUUUUUUGCAUUCAUUCAUGGUUUUAUUUCAAGUAAAUAGAUGAGUGAAUAAAGUUAUAAUGCAUCAAAGGAUUAUUUCAUUUUUCUUAUAUAUAUGUAAAUAUAUAUAUUUUGUAAAGGUCCUUGCUACAUAAAUACAAAUCUGGGCAUGAGGAAUCUAAUAGCUUUUUAGGGCAUGACAAUCAGUGUAUAGUUAUUAUGAUUAUUAUUAUCCGUAGAUGUACUUGAAUUUUCACAACUUCAAGGAUUUUCGAAAAUUUUCGUUUUCUUUAUUAAUUAAAAGGACAACAUCAAUUUUGAUGAAAUCAUGACCCCCCUGUUCUAUUUUCUAUUAGGACGUUUGUAAAAAUUAAUUUUACUUGUUUUCUAUCCCAGAAUAGGUGUGAUUUGUGUUCAAAUCAAUUCAAUAUUAAAAUCAUAAGUUUGGCAUAAACACAAUAGUGAUUCUUCUUGUUUCAUAUUAUUCAAAUUUUUAUUUUUUACAUGUUUUCUUAUAAAAAAAAAAAACAAGUAAAAAUAAAAAUAAAAAUAUGGUGUAACUAAUGC
rnacentral:lncRNA from 1 species